rnacentral:rRNA from 1 species
AUUGAACGCUGGCGGCGUGCUUAACACAUGCAAGUCGAGCGGUAACAGGCGUAGCAAUACGUGCUGACGAGCGGCGAACGGGUGCGUAAUACAUCGGAAUCUGCCUCGUAGUGGGGAAUAACCCGGCGAAAGCCGGGCUAAUGCCGCAUACGAUCCACGGAUGAAAGCGGGGGACUUUCGGCCUCGCGCUAUGAGAUGAGCCGAUGUCGGAUUAGCAGUUGGUGAGGUAACGGCUCACCAAGGCGACGAUCCGUAGCUGGUCUGAGAGGACGGCCAGCCACACUGGGACUGAGACACGGCCCAGACUCCUACGGGAGGCAGCAGUGGGGAAUAUUGGACAAGUGGGGAAACCCUGAUCCAGCGACGCCG